AUUGAACGCUGGCGGCAUGCCUUACACAUGCAAGUCGAACGGUAACGCGGGGCAACCUGGCGACGAGUGGCGAACGGGUGAGUAAUAUAUCGGAAUGUGCCCAGUAGUGGGGGAUAGCCCGGCGAAAUCCGGAUCAAUACCGCAUACGACCUGAGGGUGAAAGCGGGGGAUCGCAAGACCUAGAGCUAUUGGAGCGGCCGAUAUCAGAUUAGCUAGUUGGCGGGGUAAAAGCCUACCAAGGCGACGAUCUGUAGCUGGUCUGAGAGGACGACCAGCCACACUGGGAGUGAGACACGGCCCAGACUCCUACGGGAGGCAGCAGUGGGGAAUUUUGGACAAUGGGCGCAAGCCUGAUCCAGCCAUUCCGCGUGCGGGAAGAAGGCCUUCGGGUUGUAAACCGCUUUUGUCAGGGAAGAAACGCGCUGAACUAAUACUUCGGCGUAAUGACGGUACCUGAAGAAUAAGCACCGGCUAACUACGUGCCAGCCGCCGCAGUAA
rnacentral:rRNA from 1 species